UGAUCCGAUAGCCUUCGCAAAAAUCGAGGAGUCGAUUUCGGUGCGUUUUUCAGCGAAAUUCGUCGAAAGAAUGCGGUUUCAGUUCGGAUUUCUUCCGACGUGGUUUGUUUAUCCUGUGAUUUGUCGCUGAGCCUUGUUGGCUGAUCACCAUCAUCAUUUUGUGGGUUCGGUGAUGAUGGGUGAGCGACGGUGGGUUCCGGUGCUGAAAUUGACACUUUCGGGAACCCGUAUUCGUACAAUUAUCCGGCGAUAAUU
rnacentral:lncRNA from 1 species